UAUCAUCGCGUACUUUGUGCCUGAAGUUUCCAGAAUUCUUGAGAAUGCUUUGGAAUUUAGAACGCUUUACACAUUGAUUCACGCGUUGAAUUUGCUUUACGAAAGUUUCAACGUUUCGAAGCAGUUCGCAAAGAAUCGGUGUUCUUGGUGCAUCUUCAAGUACCACUUAGAAGCAUGGCAAAAUGGGGCGAAGGUGAUCCACGCUGGAUCGUGGAAGAGAGGCCUGAUGCAACUAAUGUGAAUAAUUGGCAUUGG